rnacentral:tRNA from 1 species
GCCUGGCUAGAUUAGUCAGUAGAGCAGGAGACUCUUAAUCUCAGGGUCAUGAGUUUGUGCCCCAUGUUGGGCA